rnacentral:misc_RNA from 1 species
GUGUUCGGAUUGCGGCGACGUGAGCGGUUCGCCGCCCGCGACGUCGCAAGAAGUCCACUGAACCUUAUCAUUUAGAGGAAGGAGAAGUCGUAACAAGGUUUCCGUAGGUGAACCUGCGGAAGGAUCAUUGUCGAAUCCUGCAAACGACCGCGAACCCGUUCACAAAACGCACGGGGUGCGGGCGGACUCCCGUCUGYCGGCCCCGGGCCAAAAGAAACUCCCGGCGCGGAAAGCGCCAAGGACUACUCAAACGGAUCGCCCGCGUCGCCCGACGGUUUCCGCCGUGCGGCCGCGAGCGUCUGAAUCGUAACCAACACGACUCUCGGCAACGGAUAUCUAGGCUCUCGCAUCGAUGAAGAACGUAGCGAAAUGCGAUACUUGGUGUGAAUUGCAGAAUCCCGUGAACCAUCGAGUUUUUGAACGCAAGUUGCGCCCGAAGCCAUCAGGCCGAGGGCACGUCUGCCUGGGCGUCACGCACCGUCGCCACCCUCCCCCAGCGCUCGUUGGGGGACGGGUGACGGAUGUUGGCCUCCCGUGACCCUGGCGUCGCGGCCGGCCUAAAUCGGAGUCCUCCUCUCGGGACGUCACGGCAAGUGGUGGUUGGAAUCAUUUCUUUCCUCGAUCCGAACCGUGUCCCGGACCGUUGAGGAGCGCUGCUAGACCCCGGAGCCCUCGGGCUCUCGACCAUGACCC